rnacentral:rRNA from 1 species
CCUACGGGCGGCAGCAGUGGGGGAUAUUGCACAAUGGGGGGAACCCUGAUGCAGCGACGCCGCGUGGGUGAAGAAGCGCCUCGGCGCGUAAAGCCCUGUCAGCAGGGAAGAAAAUGACGGUACCUGAAGAAGAAGCCCCGGCUAACUACGUGCCAGCAGCCGCGGUAAUACGUAGGGGGCAAGCGUUAUCCGGAUUUACUGGGGGUAAAGGGGGCGCAGACGGCGAUGCAAGCCAGGAGUGAACGCCCGGGGCUCAACCCCGGGACUGCUCUUGGAACUGCGUGGCUGGAGUGCAGGAGGGGCAGGCGGAAUUCCUGGUGUAGCGGUGAAAUGCGUAGAUAUCAGGAGGAACACCGGUGGCGAAGGCGGCCUGCUGGACUGCAACUGACGUUGAGGCCCGAAAGCGUGGGGAGCAAACAGGAUUAGAUACCCUAGUAGUC